GCCCAAUAGAUCGGGAUAACACCUGGAAACAGAUGCUAAUACCGGAUAACAACAGAUGAUGCCUAUCAACUGUUUAAAAGAUGGUUCUGCUAUCACUCUUGGAUGGACCUGCGGUGCAUUAGCUAGUUGGUAGGGUAACGGCCUACCAAGGCGAUGAUGCAUAGCCGAGUUGAGAGACUGAUCGGCCACAUUGGGACUGAGACACGGCCCAAACUCCCUACGGGAGGCAGCAGCA
rnacentral:rRNA from 1 species